CCCAUUAGGCAUUCAGUAAAUGUUCAUUUGAAGGGAAGAGGGGAAAAUUAACUCCCUAACACAGGGAAAAGGCCUGACAGUUCUAGAGGUUCAGAAAGGAGUUCCUUGGCCAAAUUGUUCUGGUUGUGUUUUGCUACAGUUGUUCAGCAUAUUUGUUGUAGCACUAAGUUACACUUUGAAAAACAGACUCCUGUUAUGUUGUCUUAGUAGUUAGUUAGCUACUAACCAUAGCUCACUAUAGCUGCUUUUAUCAAAUCGGGGUUGCUAUUAUAUUCCUUGGCUCCAGAGUAAUCUCACUUAAUGGGAAAAAUCUGAGCACUCAUUCUUGAGAUUUUACUUACUAGUUAGUAUGUGAUAUCUUUUAAGUUUUGGGUAUUAAGAUAUUUCCAUCUGAUUAUUCUGGGGAGGUUAAUCAUCGACUGGUAUUUCAGUCACUUCAGUUGCUUUGCCUACAACCUGAAAAAUCCAAACAUCUUUAGUCAUUGCCUAUGAUUUAUGAACAAACCUAGGAAUUUAAAAAUUCUUCAGUUUCAACUAGAUUUGAGAUUCUCGGUCAGAGACUCAGUCUUUGCUUAUAAAGAAAGACUAGUUGGGCAACAUUACACUGUGUUCUGUCUUAACAUUAAUACUGAAGGCCUUAGAAUUACAUGGCUCUUUGUUAAUGAAAUGCUUUCUUAAGUGGCAAGAUCUCGGGAAUUAGCUGUUCAGGAUGGCUCAUCUGGUUCAGUUGUAUUUUCAUUCAGCUAGGCUGAAAUAUUUCCUCUUCUAUACUGUUUUAGUUCUCCAUUGGUGUUAAUUAACUUAGGGACCUUUGAGAGGAAAGCUUGGUUUCAUCUGCUCCGGAAUCUUGGCCUUUCUAAUCUUUGGACUUGGGUGCAGCUGUGCUCUGCGAAAAGGGCUUCGGCCAUACUAACUAGUAGAUGUGGGAGUUUGGCAAGUUAUUUCUUCUCAUCUUUUUUGAGAAUUAAACGAGUAAUGACUGUAAAGGGUUUGGCCCAUUAGUAGUCCUUCAGUAAAGCUAGGUAUUUUAAUUACUGCAGGAAUAUUUUGGCAAUAGUGUGGCAAUUGAAGUAGAAAAUUUAUGUGCAAUAAGUUCACAGUCUUUGAUUUUUAAGUGUUUAUCUAUGUCCUUCUGUUGAAUGCCUUUCUCUUUCUCCCUUACAGUUUGUUUAGAAUUUCCAGUCUAAUGGAAAAGUUGGUGUGUAGUAAAAGAAUGCUCAUAAAAUGUGGACUGGGCUUAUGUUUUUAAAGGUGUCAGCUAGUAAAUUAUUUAUUAGUGUUCUUUACUAUUUCCCUUAGUUUACUCAGUGACUGCCUAUUGUAGGGAUUGACCUUUAUUGAAUCAAAGUACACUCUUAAAAUUAUGCCAUGUGUUUUAAAAAGCCCAUAUUUUAUUUGAGGGUUGAAGAUUUGGGUAAUGUGUAGAUUUGAUGUCUUAUGUAGCAAACGAAAAGAUUUCUUGUUAGGUGCUUAAGUAGUUAUCUUUAUUGGGGGAGGUAUUUGAGCCCUCCCUGAUGGUUAGUUUUGGCUGACAAACUUUGUAAUGGUGGAGGGAGCUGUCUUAGAAAAUGGAGAAGUUCAUUGUAGCUGAAUGGUCUGGCACAGUUUCUGUGGAUGAUAGUGUAACCAGUUAGCUGCUCGCAUUUGGAAAUUGCGUGCUAUUUAUCAGAGUAAAUAUUGAUAUUAGGGAUGUAAGCCUUUGCCAUGUAGAAUUUCUUACCCUUCUCUCAGCUCAGAGGCGAGGAAUGCUGCUGCAGACCUUUUAUGCCAAAUAGCUUACUCAGGUUGUACUCUGUGCCUCGGAUCCACCGCUCCAUUACCCUUCCUUCCAUUUCUUGGUGGCUGUCCUGUGCCACUGGUGCCAUGGUGGGUGUAUGGAUUGCUUUCUGUCUUUCAACAGUUACCGAAGUGCAUGUUUGGGAUUUUGUUGAAGAAAGCUGGAUACAGUAAACGGAAAGGAUCUUGGAAGCUGCUUGACUGCUGUCUUUUCUCAGACUAGUCUGAAAGGGAAUCCCCCCAUUCAUUCUGGAUUGGUGGAUCUGAAGUACAAAAUAUUGUCCAGAACACUUCAGUUAUGGAGGAUCAAAAUGAAGAUGAGUCCCCCAAGAAAAAUACCCUUUGGCAGAUAAGUAAUGGAACA